CCCUCCCGCUAGAUCUAGCGGAAGGGAGGAUGUGGCCAUUGCCGCUGUCGUCGAUGAAGGCUGCAGCCUCCCCUCCCGUCGGAUCUGGCGGAAGGG
rnacentral:pre_miRNA from 1 species